UCUCAUUCUCAUUGUGAGACGAGGCGCACCUUGAGCGUACACGUUGGGACCCGAAAGAUGGUGAACUAUGCCUGGCGAGGACAAAGUCAGGGGAAACCCUGAUGGAGGUCCGUAGCGAUUCUGACGUGCAAAUCGAUCGUC
rnacentral:rRNA from 1 species